CCUACGGGAGGCAGCAGUGAGGAAUAUUGGUCAAUGGGCGCGAGCCUGAACCAGCCAUGUAGCGUGAAGGAUGACUGCCCUACGGGUUGUAAACUUCUUUUAUAAAGGAGUAAAGUGAGGCACGUGUGACUUUGUGAAUGUACUUUAUGAAUAAGGAUCGGCUAACUCCGUGCCAGCAGCCGCGGUAAUACGGAGGAUCCGAGCGUUAUCCGGAUUUAUUGGGUUUAAAGGGAGCGUAGAUGGGUGGUUAAGUCAGUUGUGAAAGUUUGCGGCUCAACCGUAAAAUUGCAUUUGAUACUGGCAGUCUUGAGUACAGUUGAGGUAGGCGGAAUUCGUGGUGUAGCGGUGAAAUGCUUAGAGAUCACGAAGAACUCCGAUUGCGAAGGCAGCUUACUAAACUGCCACUGACAUUGAUGCUCGAAAGUGUGGGGAUCAAACAGGAUUAGAUACCCCGGUAGUC
rnacentral:rRNA from 1 species